CAAUGAAGGUAGCAUGGUAAUGUGCACAGAGAUUGAAUUCUCUUUGGGUCUACAUGUCUGCUCCCUCUGAUGCCUCUCUUGGUGGCUUUGAUUUGGGGGCCUGGUUCUGACCCACAUUU
rnacentral:snoRNA from 1 species